UUAAGUUCAGCGGGUAGUCCUACCUGAUUUGAGGUCAAUAUUGUCAAUACAAAGUAAAGUUUAGAAAGCAGCAUUAACCCCAUUCCAGCAGAUGUCUAGGAUGUAGAUAAUUAUCACACCUGUAGACAGUUCCACCAAGGUACCGCUAAUCAAUUUCAGGGAAGCAGACUACAGAAGCCCACAAAAAAAUUUAUCCCCAA
rnacentral:misc_RNA from 1 species